UACGGAGGGUGCGAGCGUUGUCCGGAAUCACUGGGCGUAAAGGGCGCGUAGGCGGCCCGUUAAGUGGCUGGUGAAAUCCCGCGGCUCAACUGCGGGGCUGCCGGUCAGACUGGCGAGCUAGAGCACGGUAGGGGCAGAUGGAAUUCCCGGCGUAGCGGUGAAAUGCGCAGAUAUCGGGAGGAACACCGGUGGCGAAGGCGGUUCUCUGGGCCUUACC
rnacentral:rRNA from 1 species